rnacentral:rRNA from 1 species
CGGCAGGCUUUCACAUGGGGUAACGGAAAAGGGGGGUCGGAUGCAGAGACCGGCGCACGGGUGCGUAACGCGUAUGCAAUCUGCCUUUCACAGAGGGAUAGCCCAGAGAAAUUUGGAUUAAUACCUCAUAGUAUUAUGGAAGGGCAUCCUUUUAUAGUUAAAGUCACAACGGUGAAAGAUGAGCAUGCGUCCCAUUAGUUAGUUGGUAAGGUAACGGCUUACCAAGACUUCGAUGGGUAGGGGUCCUGAGAGGGAGAUCCCCCACACUGGUACUGAGACACGGACCAGACUCCUACGGGAGGCAGCAGUGAGGAAUAUUGGUCAAUGGGCGCAAGCCUGAACCAGCCAUGCCGCGUGCAGGAUGACGGUCCUAUGGAUUGUAAACUGCUUUUGUACGAGAAGAAACACCCCUACGAGUAGGGACUUGAUGGUAUCGUAAGAAUAAGGAUCGGCUAACUCCGUGCCAGCAGCCGCGGUAAUACGGAGGAUCCAAGCGUUAUCCGGAAUCAUUGGGUUUAAAGGGUCCGUAGGCGGUCUUGUAAGUCAGUGGUGAAAGCCCAUCGCUCAACGAUGGAACGGCCAUUGAUACUGCAGGACUUGAAUUACUGGGAAGUAACUAGAAUAUGUAGUGUAGCGGUGAAAUGCUUAGAGAUUACAUGGAAUACCAAUUGCGAAGGCAGGUUACUACCGGUGGAUUGACGCUGAUGGACGAAAGCGUGGGUAGCGAACAGGAUUAGAUACCCUGGUAGUCCACGCCGUAAACGCUGGAUACUAGCUGUUGGGCGCAAGUUCAGUGGCUAAGCGAAACCGAUAAGUAUCCC